rnacentral:misc_RNA from 1 species
CUACUAUCAAGCACUGCUUGGCAUUGGAUGUCACUUUCGUGGUGCAUCUCAAAAGUAUUGGCAGUAGCAUCUAGCUUCUAGUAUAGUAAAUUUCUCGCUAUGGAGCUGGGUGUCUUGACUACCAGAACCCCUAAUAUUUUAAAA